rnacentral:rRNA from 1 species
CUCUGGACGAACGCUGGCGGCGUGCUUAACACAUGCAAGUCGAACGGAAAGGCCCUGCUUUUGUGGGGUGCUCGAGUGGCGAACGGGUGAGUAACACGUGAGUAACCUGCCCUUGACUUUGGGAUAACUUCAGGAAACUGGGGCUAAUACCGGAUAGGAGCUCCUGCUGCAUGGUGGGGGUUGGAAAGUUUCGGCGGUUGGGGAUGGACUCGCGGCUUAUCAGCUUGUUGGUGGGGUAGUGGCUUACCAAGGCUUUGACGGGUAGCCGGCCUGAGAGGGUGACCGGCCACAUUGGGACUGAGAUACGGCCCAGACUCCUACGGGAGGCAGCAGUGGGGAAUAUUGCACAAUGGGCGGAAGCCUGAUGCAGCAACGCCGCGUGCGGGAUGACGGCCUUCGGGUUGUAAACCGCUUUCGCCUGUGACGAAGCGUGAGUGACGGUAAUGGGUAAAGAAGCACCGGCUAACUACGUGCCAGCAGCCGCGGUGAUACGUAGGGUGCGAGCGUUGUCCGGAUUUAUUGGGCGUAAAGGGCUCGUAGGUGGUUGAUCGCGUCGGAAGUGUAAUCUUGGGGCUUAACCCUGAGCGUGCUUUCGAUACGGGUUGACUUGAGGAAGGUAGGGGAGAAUGGAAUUCCUGGUGGAGCGGUGGAAUGCGCAGAUAUCAGGAGGAACACCAGUGGCGAAGGCGGUUCUCUGGGCCUUUCCUGACGCUGAGGAGGGAAAGCGUGGGGAGCGAACAGGCUUAGAUACCCUGGUAGUCCACGCUGUAAACGGUGGGUACUAGGUGUGGGGUCCAUUCCACGGGUUCCGUGCCGUAGCUAACGCUUUAAGUACCCCGCCUGGGGAGUACGGCCGCAAGGCUAAAACUCAAAGGAAUUGACGGGGCCCCGCACAAGCGGCGGAGCAUGCGGAUUAAUUCGAUGCAACGCGUAGAACCUUACCUGGGUUUGACAUGGAUCGGGAGUGCUCAGAGAUGGGUGUGCCUCUUUUGGGGUCGGUUCACAGGUGGUGCAUGGCUGUCGUCAGCUCGUGUCGUGAGAUGUUGGGUUAAGUCCCGCAACGAGCGCAACCCUUGUUCACUGUUGCCAGCACGUUAUGGUGGGGACUCAGUGGAGACCGCCGGGGUCAACUCGGAGGAAGGUGGGGAUGACGUCAAGUCAUCAUGCCCCUUAUGUCCAGGGCUUCACGCAUGCUACAAUGGCUGGUACAGAGGGUGGCGAGCCUGUGAGGGUGAGCGAAUCUCGGAAAGCCGGUCUCAGUUCGGAUUGGGGUCUGCAACUCGACCUCAUGAAGUCGGAGUCGCUAGUAAUCGCAGAUCAGCAACGCUGCGGUGAAUACGUUCCCGGGGCUUGUACACACCGCCCGUCAAGUCAUGAAAGUUGGUAACACCCGAAGCCGGUGGCCUAACCGUUGUGGGGGAGCCGUCGAAGGUGGGACUGGUGA